AACGCACCUUGCGCUCCUUGGUAUUCCGAGGAGCAUGCCUGUUUGAGUGUCAUUAAUAUAUAUCAACCCUUCACUUGUUGAGCGGUUUGGAUGUGGGGGUUUGCCUGGCCUCUUAAAAGGUUUUGGCUCCCCUAAAAUGCAUUAGCAGAACAACCCUGUUCAUUGGUGUGAUAAACUAUCUACGCUAUUGAAUGUGAAGGGCAGUUUGGCUUUCUAACAGUCCUCGGACAAACUCAUCAUUAAUGUGACCUCAAAUCAGGUAGGACUACCCGCUGAACUUAA
rnacentral:misc_RNA from 1 species